ACCAAGUUUCAACAACGGAUCUCUUGGCUCUCGCAUCGAUGAAGAACGCAGCGAAAUGCGAUAAGUAAUGUGAAUUGCAGAAUUCAGUGAAUCAUCGAAUCUUUGAACGCACCUUGCGCUCCUUGGUAUUCCUUGGAGCAUGCCUGUUUGAGUAUCAUGAAAU
rnacentral:rRNA from 1 species